rnacentral:snRNA from 1 species
AGCUUUGCGCAGUGGCAGUAUCGUAGCCAAUGAGGUUUAUCCGAGGCGCGAUUAUUGCUAAUUGAAAACUUUCUGUAGCCACCAAAAUAACACAUGGGAGCCUCAUUUUAAUGUGAGGGAGAAAUUCCUGAAGACCUUCCACAAUCUUUUUUUUUUUUUAAGA